rnacentral:lncRNA from 1 species
UUUGAGAGGAGAAGAGAGAACAUGGCAGGAGGCCCUCCUCCUCAACGUCCUCCCAUGGGAGGCCCUCCUCCUCCUCCGCACAUCGGUGGCUCUGCACCUCCUCCGCCUCAUAUGGGUGGCUCUGCACCUCCUCCACCUCACAUGGGGCAGAACUAUGGACCACCACCACCAAACAACAUGGGAGGACCAAGGCAUCCACCACCUUAUGGAGCACCACCGCAAAACAACAUGGGAGGACCGAGGCCACCUCAGAACUAUGGAGGAACACCACCUCCCAACUAUGGAGGAGCACCACCAGCAAACAACAUGGGAGGAGCACCACCACCAAACUAUGGAGGAGGACCACCACCUCAAUAUGGAGCAGUACCACCACCUCAAUACGGAGGAGCACCCCCACAGAACAACAACUACCAGCAGCAGGGUAGUGGAAUGCAGCAGCCACAGUACCAGAACAACUACCCACCUAACCGGGAUGGCAGUGGCAACCCCU